AUUGAACGCUGGCGGCAUGCCUUACACAUGCAAGUCGAACGGCAGCACGGGAGUAAUCCUGGUGGCGAGUGGCGAACGGGUGAGUAAUAUAUCGGAACGUGCCCAGUCGUGGGGGAUAACGCAGCGAAAGCUGUGCUAAUACCGCAUACGAUCUAAGGAUGAAAGCGGGGGAUCGCAAGACCUCGCGCGAUUGGAGCGGCCGAUAUCAGAUUAGCUAGUUGGUGGGGUAAAGGCCCACCAAGGCGACGAUCUGUAGCUGGUCUGAGAGGACGACCAGCCACACUGGAACUGAGACACGGUCCAGACUCCUACGGGAGGCAGCAGUGGGGAAUUUUGGACAAUGGGCGCAAGCCUGAUCCAGCAAUGCCGCGUGCAGGAUGAAGGCCUUCGGGUUGUAAACUGCUUUUAUACGGAACGAAACGGCCCUUUCUAAUACAGGGGGCUAAUGACGGUACCGUAAGAAUAAGCACCGGCUAACUACGUGCCAGCAGCCGCAGUAACAC
rnacentral:rRNA from 1 species